GCCUAUCUCCAUACCAGAUUGAAAGUACCCGAUCUCGGAAGUCAAGCAAUCCCGGGUUCAGUUAGUACUUGAAUGGGUGACCAUAGUACACGAACAUGAUAGUUC
ensembl:rRNA 5S_rRNA 5S ribosomal RNA